rnacentral:rRNA from 1 species
CCAGACUCCUACGGGAGGCAGCAGUGGGGGAUAUUGCACAAUGGGGGGAACCCUGAUGCAGCGACGCCGCGUGGGUGAAGGAGCGUUUCGGCGCGUAAAGCCCUAUCGGCAGGGAAGAAGGAGGACGGUACCUGACUAAGAAGCCCCGGCUAACUACGUGCCAGCAGCCGCGGUAAUACGGAGGAUGCGAGCGUUAUCCGGAUUUAUUGGGUUUAAAGGGUGCGUAGGCGGGCUGUUAAGUCAGCGGAAAAAGCCCGGGGCUCAACCCCGGCGAGCCGUUGAAACUGGCUGUCUUGAGAUGUCGAGAGGUAUGCGGAAUGCGCAGUGUAGCGGUGAAAUGCAUAGAUAUCACGCAGAACCCCGAUUGCGAAGGCAGCAUACCGGUGCACAACUGACGCUCAGGCACGAAAGCGUGGGUAUCGAACAGGAUUAGAUACCCGAGUACU